rnacentral:piRNA from 1 species
UCUCAAGUUGCAUUUAGGAUU